rnacentral:rRNA from 1 species
UACGAAGGGGGCUAGCGUUGCUCGGAAUCACUGGGCGUAAAGGGUGCGUAGGCGGGUCUCUAAGUCAGGGGUGAAAUCCCGAGGCUCAACCUCGGAACUGCCUUUGAUACUGGGGAUCUCGAGUCCGGGAGAGGUGAGUGGAACUGCGAGUGUAGAGGUGAAAUUCGUAGAUAUUCGCAAGAACACCAGUGGCGAAGGCGGCUCACUGGCCCGGAACUGACGCUGAGGUGCGAAAGCGUGGGGAGCAAACAGGG